rnacentral:rRNA from 1 species
UACGUAGGGGGCAAGCGUUGUCCGGAAUUAUUGGGCGUAAAGAGCGCGUAGGCGGUCCGGUAAGUCGGUUGUGAAAGUCGGGGGCUCAACCCUCGGAUGCCGGUGGAUACUGUCGGGCUUGAGUGCGGAAGAGGCGAGUGGAAUUCCUGGUGUAGCGGUGAAAUGCGCAGAUAUCAGGAGGAACACCAAUUGCGAAGGCAGCUCGCUGGGACGUAACUGACGCUGAUGCGCGAAAGCGUGGGGAGCAAACAGG